AUCAUUAACGAGUUUUGAAACGAGUUGUAGCUGGCCUUCCGAGGCAUGUGCACGCUCUGCUCAUCCACUCUACCCCUGUGCACUUACUGUAGGUUGGCGUGGGCUCCUUAACGGGAGCAUUCUGCCGGCCUAUGUAUACUACAAACACUUUAAAGUAUCAGAAUGUAAACGCGUCUAACGCAUCUAUAAUACAACUUUUAGCAACGGAUCUCUUGGCUCUCGCAUCGAUGAAGAACGCAGCGAAAUGCGAUAAGUAAUGUGAAUUGCAGAAUUCAGUGAAUCAUCGAAUCUUUGAACGCACCUUGCGCUCCUUGGUAUUCCGAGGAGCAUGCCUGUUUGAGUGUCAUGGAAUUCUCAACUUAUAAAUCCUUGUGAUCUAUAAGCUUGGACUUGGAGGCUUGCUGGCCCUCGUUGGUCGGCUCCUCUUGAAUGCAUUAGCUUGAUUCCGUACGGAUCGGCUCUCAGUGUGAUAAUUGUCUACGCUGUGACCGUGAAGUGUUUUGGCGAGCUUCUAACCGUCCAUUAGGACAAC
rnacentral:rRNA from 1 species